UACGUAGGGGGCAAGCGUUGUUCGGACUUACUGGGCGUAAAGGGCGCGUAGGCGGCACAGCAAGUCGGGAGUGAAAGCCCGGGGCUCAACCCCGGAAUGGCUUUCGAAACUGCUGAGCUAGAGUACAGAAGGGGCAACCGGAAUUCCCAGUGUAGCGGUGAAAUGCGUAGAUAUUGGGAAGAACACCUGAGGCGAAGGCGGGUUGCUGGGCUGAUACUGACGCUGAGGCGCGAAAGCCAGGGGAGCAAACGGG
rnacentral:rRNA from 1 species